rnacentral:lncRNA from 1 species
UAUAGAUACAGGUUCUAUAUGCCAUUACACCUCUUAUCGACCCCAUUCAACACUGUAGAUACAGGUUCUAUAUGCCAUUACACCUCUUACUGACCCCAUUCAACACCAUAGAUACAGGUUCUAUAUUCCAUUACACCUCUUACCGACCCCAUUCAACACUAUAGAUACAGGUUCUAUAUUCCAUUACACCUCUAACUGACCCCAUUCAACACUCUAGAUACAGGUUCUAUAUGCCAUUACACCUCUUACCGACCCCAUUCAACACUGUAGAUUGUCAUGAAUCCCGCUUCCUGAGUCUGUUUUCUGCCUGAGCUGAUUGUUUUUCUGUUUUGGAGUCUGUUUCCUGAGGUUCCUGAACGCACCCUGUCUGGUUGCCAGGCGACGAAGCUAGGCGGGAGAUCUCUCGAUUACCCGCACCUGCAGCUCAUCAGCUAUCUGCACACCUGGUCCUGAUCAUCACCUCUUCACUUUAUAAGCUCUGACCUGACAUCCAUUCCCUGCCGGAUCGUUAGCAAUGAACAUCAUUCUCCCGGAACAUUCAACCCCCCUGCCUGGUCGUCGGUGGCUUCUGUGACAUCAUUGGAUCUGCCUAUUCACUCUCAUCAACUCACCUCCGCUGCGUCUCCUGGAUUAUUCUGUUUUCACCUUGACUCUGUAAAUAAAU